GGAAAGAGGCAUCCUCCUAUACCGUGCUUUAUGUGGUGUUGGCCUUCCAAGAUUUUUUUCGUGUCUAUUUGAGGAUGUUCCGUAUAGCUAUAGGAGCUCUGUUACGAGUUUUUCUUACAUGCCGCAUUUUACGAGUAAAACACAGCGGGCUUAAAGUGAAUCGUAGUAUAUGGAACUUUGUCGAUUUUUGACAAGUGGAACCUUUUCGUUAACUGUUUGGUUGUUAGGACUGAGUUUUGUU
rnacentral:lncRNA from 1 species